CGCGGCCUAUCAGCUUGUUGGUGAGGUAACGGCUCACCAAGGCGACGACGGGUAGCCGGCCUGAGAGGGUGACCGGCCACACUGGGACUGAGACACGGCCCAGACUCCUACGGGAGGCAGCAGUAGGGAAUAUUGCACAAUGGGCGAAAGCCUGAUGCAGCAACGCCGCGUGCGGGAAGAAGGCCCUAGGGUUGUAAACCGCUUUCAGCAGGGAAGAAAAUGACGGUACCUGCAGAAGAAGGUGCGGCCAACUACGUGCCAGCAGCCGCGGUGACACGUAGGCACCAAGCGUUGUCCGGAUUUAUUGGGCGUAAAGAGCUCGUAGGCGGUUCAGUAAGUCGGGUGUGAAAACUCUGGGCUCAACCCAGAGACGCCACUCGAUACUGCUGUGACUCGAGUGCGGUAGGGGAGCGGGGAAUUCCUAGUGUAGCGGUGAAAUGCGCAGAUAUUAGGAGGAACACCAGUGGCGAAGGCGCCGCUCUGGGCCGUAACUGACGCUGAGGAGCGAAAGCGUGGGUAGCAAACAGGAUUAGAUACCCUGGUAGUCCACGCCGUAAACGUUGGGCACUAGGUGUGGGUCUCAACCAACGAGAUCCGCGCCGUCGCUAACGCAUUAAGUGCCCCGCCUGGGGAGUACAAUC
rnacentral:rRNA from 1 species